UAGAGAAGAAAGAAUAUGCAAUCAUGCAGAUGCCAUGGAAAAUAUGAACUUGGCCGUCUUUGAUCUUAUAUCUUGAUUUGACGGAACCGUGCAAAUGUUUUACGAUCGGGCAAAAUAGAAAGUCCAGAUGAUUGGUUCAUGUAAGAAAAUGAUGUAAGGAAGUAAUAUAUUUUAUGUUCAACUGCGUUCGUUAGAGUUACAUCUUCCCGAGAUUUAUAGUGAAAAAAGUAUAUCUGGUCGAUAAGGAAAACUGUUAAUUUGACAUUAAUUCAAAAACAAUACGGUAUGAAUGCGGCUUUUUUGUCUAUUUUCCAGUGGUG